AGCAUCGUAGCACAGUUGGAAGUGCGCCAGUCUCAUAUAUAUUCCCAUAACAGGGAAACAUGAGGAAUUUGGAGGUCGCUUGAUCGAAACAAGCCGGUGCUA